GAAAUGCGAUACGUAGUGUGAAUUGCAGAAAUACGUGAACCAUCGAAUCUUUGAACGCACAUUGCGCCCGCCAGCACUCUGGCGGGCAUGCCUGUUCGAGCGUCAUUUCAACCCUCAGAACCCCUUGCGGGAUCUGGCGUUGGGGAUUGGCAUCCAGCCAGCCCCGAAAUCUAGUGGCGGUCCCUCCGCGACCUCCCCUGUGCAGUAGCGAUACCUCGCAGCGGGACAGCGGUCUGACCACGCCGUAAAACCCCCAACUUCUCAAGGUUGACCUCGAAUCAGGUAGGAAUACCCGCUGAACUUAAGC
rnacentral:misc_RNA from 1 species